rnacentral:rRNA from 1 species
AGUGAACGCUGGCGGCAGGCCUAACACAUGCAAGUCGAGCGGCAGCGGGUCCCCGCGAGGGGAUGCCGGCGAGCGGCGGACGGGUGAGGAACACAUCGGAAUCUGCCUGGUUGUGGGGGAUAACGUAGGGAAACUUACGCUAAUACCGCAUGCGACCCUGAGUCGACGGACUGGGGGUGAAAGUGAGGGACCUUCGGGCCUCACGCGACCAGAUGAGCCGAUGUCGGAUUAGCUAGUUGGCGGGGUAACGGCCCGCCAAGGCGACGAUCCGUAGCUGGUCUGAGAGGAUGAUCAGCCACACUGGGACUGAGAC